GCACUGAUGAAGAGUCCUACAAUAAGACGAAACAGCUGUCCAGUGC
rnacentral:hammerhead_ribozyme from 1 species